GACGAACGCUGGCGGCGUGCUUAACACAUGCAAGUCGAACGAUGAAGAAAAGAAUCGAAGCUUCGGCAGAAAUUCAUUUCGGAUUAGUGGCAGACGGGUGAGUAACGCGUGAGCAACCUACCUCUUACAAAGGGAUAGCCUCGGGAAACCGGGAUUAAUACCAUAUAACAUUGUGACGAAGCAUUUCGAUGCAAUCAAAGCUACGGCGGUAAGAGAUGGGCUCGCGUCCCAUUAACCGGAUGGUGAGGUAACGGCUCACCAUAGUGACGAUGGGUAACCGGCCUGAGAUGGUGAACGGUCACACUGGAACUGAGACACGGUCCAGACUCCUACGGGAGGCAGCAGUGGGGAAUAUUGCACAAUGGAGGGAACUCUGAUGCAGCGACGCCGCGUGAGUGAUGAAGGAAUUCGUUUCGUAAAACUCUGUUCUAUGGGAAGAAAAGGACUGUACCAUAGGAGAAAGCUCCGGCUAAAUACGUG
rnacentral:rRNA from 1 species